UUUCUAUGUAUAAAAAUGGGUUCUUUCUAGUUUUCUUUAAUCUAGACAAAAAUGGGAACGUUAGAACACAAUGCCAAGUAUCUUUCCACAAAACUAGUGUUUCUGGUAUCUUGUGCAGGCCUUCUUGGGGCUGUUUUCAUUGCAGAUUUCGUUUGGACCUCAUCUUCGUCUAUUUCUUCUGCUUAUCAAUCCUAUGCAUCCAAUUGGGCUCUUCAGAAGUCUCAGAAAAUUUUGUUUCUCAACGCCACUAACAAGAAAGAUGAUGAGAAAGAAGCCCUUAAAGGUAAAAAGGACCAUCUUGCUGAUAGAUUCUUGCCAGCAACUUUUGCUGAUUUACCAGCACCAAAGUUAGAAUGGGAGCAGAUGCCAUCAGCACCAGUACCUCGUCUCGAUGGCUAUGCAAUGCAGAUCAAGAACCUUUUAUAUGUAUUUG
rnacentral:misc_RNA from 1 species